rnacentral:misc_RNA from 1 species
CGUGCCACCGCAUCUCAGACCGGGUUUUGUGGGGAGGGAGGAGAGGCCUGGGCCGGAGGUUUUUAGGGGGAAGGAGGCGAAUCAGAGGCCGCCGCAGCAGCAACAAGAUUAUUUUGUGUCUAAGGGUGAGUAUGGGGUUGAUGGAAGGCCUAAAUCUGGUGGUUAUGAGAGGAUGAUGGGAGGUGGCGAGUCAGAUCUGGGUUUGAUGAAUCGUCCCAGAUCUAGUGGGAACCGCCCCAGUUCAAGUGGAUGAGGUUCAUAUGAAGUAGUUUAACUUGUGGAAGAUAGGAUGAAACCUGGUGGCACCUUUUGAGUUCUUGACCCUGUUGAUAGAAUUCACAUUGAAGUGAUGUAAAAGAGAGUAUCUGGGACUUUCAAGCAGUCAAGCUGCAUCAUUGCUCGGUAAUUCAAUCUUUGUAGCUGUUUAAAGAAAGACAUCAAGGUGCCUACAGAAUGUAGAUUGUGUGAUUUUUUU